UACGUAGGGGGCAAGCGUUGUCCGGAAUCAUUGGGCGUAAAGCGCGUGUAGGCGGCUAGGUAAGUCUGCUCUGAAAGCCCGGGGCUCAACCCCGGGAGGCGGGUGGAUACUGUCUAGCUCGAGUCCGGAAGAGGAGUGUGGAAUUCCUGGUGUAGCGGUGAAAUGCGCAGAUAUCAGGAGGAACACCAAUGGCGAAGGCAGCACUCUGGGACGUGACUGACGCUGAGCCGCGAAAGCCAGGGGAGCGAACGGG
rnacentral:rRNA from 1 species